GGUCUUUUGUUUAUAUAAAAGAUCUGGCCUGCCCAAUGAUGGUAAUUUAAUGGCUGCAGUAUUUUGACUGUACAAAGGUAGCAUAAUCAUUUGUCUUUUAAUUGGAGUCUGGAAUGAAUGGUUGGAUGAAAGGUUUACUUUCUUUAUUUUAUAAGUAAAAUUUAAUUUCUGAAUCAAAAAGUUUAGCUAUUAAUAUAGGACGAGAAGACCCUAUAGAACUUUAUUUUUAAAGACUAUAUAUUUAUUUGUAAAUUAUUAUUAUAUAUUUUUAUAAGGAUUAUGUUGGGGUGACAAAAAAAAAUUUAUAACUUUUUUUAGUUGAUUCAUUUAUAUAUGUGUUUUUGAUCCUUUAUUAUGGAAUAAAAGAUUAAGUUACCUUAGGGAUAACAGCGUUAUUAUUUUAAAGAGUUCAUAUCGAUAAAAUAGUUUGCGACCUCGAUGUUGGAUUAAAAUUAGCUUCAGGGGUAGAAUAUUGGAGAUUAAGUCUGUUCGACUUUUGAAUUUUUACA
rnacentral:rRNA from 1 species